rnacentral:rRNA from 14 species
GUUGGUUGUCCAAGUGAAAGUGAGUAGGCUGAAGACUUAGGUAAAUCCGGGUUUUCAAGGCCGAGACACGAGACGAGCUCCCAAGGGAGUGAAGUUGUUGAUGCCCUGCUUCCAGGAAAAGCUUCUAAACUUAUGAUUAUAUGAACCGUACCCCAAACCGACACAGGUGGUCAGGUAGAGAAUACUAAGGCGCUUGAGAGAACUCGGGUGAAGGAACUCGGCAAAAUUGUACCGUAACUUCGGGAGAAGGUACGCCUCUGUUUGUGAACACUUUACGUGGUAAGCAAAUGGAGGCCGCAGUGACCAGGUGGCUGGGACUGUUUAUUAAAAACACAGCACUCUGCAAACUCGUAAGAGGACGUAUAGGGUGUGACACCUGCCCGGUGCCGGAAGGUUAAUUGAUGGGGUUAGUUUUCGGACGAAGCUCUUGAUCGAAGC